rnacentral:ncRNA from 2 species
AGGUGAGGUAGAGGCGCGGUUAUCAAGAGUAGCUCCGGGAAGGUCCAACGGCAUGGACAGCGCACCGGAGGGAAAGGGAUCGCCGCCGAAGUUCGGGUUUGCCACACCUGGGCUGGGUCUGCAGUGAAGAACUGCAGGACUGUCACCGUCGGAACAUUCCCACUCCUGAAUCGGCCUAUUUCGCUCGAUGACGGAGGUUUCACGGUGGAGCGCUAUCUUACGA